GAUGAAUGCUGGCGGCGUGCCUAAUACAUGCAAGUCGAGCGGAAAGGCCCUUCGGGGUACUCGAGCGGCGGACGGCUGAGUAACGCGUGGGAACAUACCCCAAAGUGAGGGAUAACCGCCCGAAAGGGUGGCUGAUACCGCAUAUGGUCUUCGGAUUAAAGGAUUUAUCCGCUUUGGGAAUGGCCUGCGUAUGAUUAGAUAGUUGGUGAGGUAAUGGCUCACCAAGUCUACGAUCAUUAAGUGGUCUGAGAGGAUGAUCAGUCAGACUGGAACUGAGACACGGUCCAGACUCCUACGGGAGGCAGCAGUAAGGAAUCUUCCACAAUGGGCGAAAGCCUGAUGGAGCAACGCCGCGUGCAGGAUGAAGGCCUUCGGGUUGUAAACUGCUUUUAUAAGUGAAGAAUAUGACGGUAACUUAUGAAUAAGCACCGGCUAACUACGUGCCAGCCGCCGCGGUAA
rnacentral:rRNA from 1 species